AUUUGUAUGGUGUUAAAAUCUAAAAUUUCCCAAUAAUAAUUUCCAAAAAAAAUUACAAUGAGGUGAAAUGUAAAGUAAUCUCUCAGUGUUUCAAAAAAAAAAAAAAAAAAAAAAAAGUAAUCUCUCAGUGGGUGUGCGCGAAUAAAUGGUUCCGGUGAUUGCCGUCGGAAAAUUGAAUCCGAUAUCUUUUUCCGGCAUUCAUCUCUAAGGUGCAAAAACCAAAUAUGAUCUAAAGAAACUGCAAAGAAGCGUUCUUACUUAACCUUGGAGCAGUUGCGACAAGUGCCUGAUGACACGAAUACAUACAAAUCAAUUGGAAGAACGCGAGAGUCCUCCUUGGCUUACAGAAUCUAUGGUUGUAAAUCCUCAACAAUAUUUUGCCAAAUUUGGUCUUGAUGGAUGAAAAGGAACAGAAGUUCAAGGAUAGUGAGACUGCAAUAGCUUCUUUACAGACUUCUAAGUGUAACUGGAAAAACAGAUGGUUUUAUACGGUGACAGACUUCUAAGUGUGACUGGAAAAACAGAUGGGGGAAGUGGAAAACAACCUAAAGGAGCUGCUGCAACAAGAUCCUGGUCUUGCCAGCCAAAUCAUGUCCCUUUCAGUAACGUAAAUCUCACUCUAGAGAAUCAUUUUUUAACCCUGUUUUUCUUUUCUAAGUCUUUUGGUUUUGUUUUGUUUUGAAUUGCUUAAAUGGGUUCCCUGAUAUUUAUAAGAUCAUAUAAUUUUAUUUUAUUUUUUUCAUAACUCUUGAUUUCUGUGAGCUCUUCUUAUAGGAUCUCUGACUAAAGCUAUCCUUUUGGCAUCACCAAAUUGGAAAUUAUAAAAUGGUAAAAGCUUAACAUUUUCAGUACCUUACACACUAUACUUUGAGUGAUAUCCAUAGAAAAUGCUUAAAGAGAUCAAAAUUUCAUAAAUGUAUCACUUUUUUUUACAAAAUUCCCUACCGUCCACGUCAACGUCUGUAAAUAUGAAAUAAUUUUUUCCUGGUUCACAAUAUAACCGUUAUAUGAAUUAGCGGUGUAUAUAGAGGUUCAUUAAACUAUAAACCGCUAAUUCAAUCAGCAGUUUCACGCUUUUUAAUUAAAAAAAAUCCUAGAUUGUUUAGCUGACGUGGAUGGUAUGUAAGGAAUUUUGUCAGAAAGCAGCAUAAUUUAGGAAUUUUGUAU